rnacentral:rRNA from 1 species
AACGAACGCUGGCGGCAUGCUUAACACAUGCAAGCCGAGCGCCCCGCAAGCGGCGCGGCCGACGGGUUAGUAACGCGUGGGAACGUACCUUUUGGUGCGGAACAACUCCGGGAAACUGGAGCGAAUACCGGAUAAGCCCUAACGGGGGAAGAUUGAUCGGCGAACGAUCGCCCCGCCUCUGAUUAGCUUCUUGGUGAGGUAACGGCUCACCAAGGCGACGAGCAGGAGCUGGUCUGGGAGGAUGAUAAGCCACACUGGGACUGAGACACGGCCCAGACUCCUACGGGAGGGAGCAGUGGGGAAUAUUGGAGAAUGGGGGCAAGUGUGAUCCAGCCACGCCGGGUGAGUGAUGAAGGCGUUAGGGUUGUAAAGCUCUUUUGUACGGGAAGAUAAUGACUGUACCGGAAGAAUAAGCCCCGGCUAACUUCGUG